rnacentral:misc_RNA from 1 species
ACAAACCAACCUUCCUGUCGCGGACACAGAAAAAGAAAGACUAGAGAAGGAGAAAGAUAAACAAAUCAGUGAAGGGAAAGGAAAAGAAAGCCGAUGAAUAGUAUAUUUUCUGUCGACGAUUUCUCCGACCUAUUAUGGCAGCCUCCGGUUCCCCGUUUAUGCGUUGGCAAUAAGAGUAGUGCAUCGGAGUGGUAGCUGCUAGAAGAAUUCCCUUCCCCUGCUUCCUCAUCUGCUAGGGACAACACCGCCGCUCCUUCCGCUGUGUCGCAAUCACCAACUUCAUCGAAGCCUCGGAAUAGUGAUGAUGACGUGGUGGAUAUCGAAAAGCCUGAAAUUCCUGCUCCUCCUCCUUCAGCUUCUCUUCCUCGUGAUUGUCCUCCUCAGCCGUUGGAUCGCGCUUCA